CCUUAGAUGUUCUGGGCCGCACGCGCGCUACACUGACAGAGCCAACGAGUAUAAACCUUAACCGAGAGGUUUGGGUAAUCUUGUUAAACUCUGUCGUGCUGGGGAUAGAGCAUUGCAAUUAUUGCUCUUCAACGAGGAAUAUCUAGUAAGCGCAAGUCAUCAGCUUGCGUUGAUUACGUCCCUGCCCUUUGUACACACCGCCCGUCGCUACUACCGAUUGAAUGGCUCAGUGAGGCCUUCGGACUGGCUCAGGAAGGUUGGCAACAACCAUCCAGAGCCGGAAAGUUGGUCAAACUUGGUCAUUUAGAGGAAGUAAAAGUCGUAACAAGGUUUCCGUAGGUGAACCUGCGGAAGGAUCAUUAUUAAAACAAAAUCUGCCUCCGGGGUCCGCCCUGGUUGCAGUAUUUUAAACCACUUGUGAACCAAACAAACAUAUGCUUCGGUAGCGGAGCGGGUCAGUUCUGCUGCCCGCUCGUCAGCCUGCCGGCAGCGCCCAAAACCAAACUUGCAUUUAUAAUUUUGUCUGAUACCAAUCAUUUUCGAAUGAAAAUUAAAACUUUCAACAACGGAUCUCUUGGUUCUCGCAUCGAUGAAGAACGCAGCGAAACGCGAUAGUUAAUGUGAAUUGCAGAAUUCAGUGAAUCAUCGAAUCUUUGAACGCACAUUGCGCCCAUUGGUACUCCUUUGGGCAUGUCUGUUUGAGCGUCAUUUCAACUCUCUGUCCAUGAAUUUUUAUUCGUGCGAUUAGGUUUUGAGCUUGGUCCGGCAAUUGGGGUGAUUCCCAUCCACUGACCAGCUUUAAAGUUGAACGCUCUGCGGGUUGCUCCUGACCUAACCGAACAUAGUAAAAGAUUAAAAUUUUCCUGUUCUACCUGGUUCAGCGUGCUUACCCAGCCUGAACAAAACUUAUUUCUUAAGGCUUGACCUCAGAUCAGACAAGGAUACCCGCUGAACUUAAGCAUAUCAAUAAGCGGAGGAAAAGAAACCAACAGGGAUUGCCUCAGUAACGGCGAGUGAAGCGGCAACAGCUCAAAUUUGAAAUCUGGAGUCUUCGACUUCCGAGUUGUAAUUUGAAGAGGAUGCUUCGGUUGUGGCCUGGGCCUAAGUUCCUUGGAACAGGACGUCGUAGAGGGUGAGAAUCCCGUACACGGCUACCGGCUUACUUCCAUGUGUAGCUCCUUCGAAGAGUCGAGUUGUUUGGGAAUGCAGCUCAAAAUGGGUGGUAAAUUUCAUCUAAAGCUAAAUACUGGCGAGAGACCGAUAGCGCACAAGUAGAGUGAUCGAAAGAUGAAAAGCACUUUGAAAAGAGAGUUAAACAGUACGUGAAAUUGUUGAAAGGGAAGCGUUUGCAAUCAGACUUGCUCUCAGUUGAUCAACGUUCCUUCUGGUUCGUGCACUCUGCUGUUUGCAGGCCAGCAUCAGUUGGUGCGGUGGGACAAAGGCUUCGGGAAUGUGGCUCCUUUCGGGGAGUGUUAUAGCCCGCUGCGUAAUGCCACCUGCACCGAUUGAGGUCCGCGCUUUUAGCUAGGAUGCUGGCAUAAUGGUUUUAAACGAC
rnacentral:rRNA from 1 species